rnacentral:lncRNA from 1 species
CCGGGCUACCUUGCCAGCAGAGUCUUGCCCAACACCCGCAAGGGCCCACACGGGACUCCCCACGGGACCCUAAGACCUCUGAUCACGACCCAGGGUACACGCAAGUGUCCACGAUGCAAAGAACUGCCUUCUAAGGAAGCACAGGCGAAAUGACAAUCUAUGAUCUCAGUGCUCUGCCCACUUCGCACAGUGCUCAGUUCUGGGUCACACACACAGGUGCAUCAUUUUGUAUUAACUGCCAUAAAAAGUGAAAUGCCCAACGCCAUGGUUUAGAAGUCUAGAACACGCUAAACCUGGGAGAAGAGGAUGUUUUAUUUUUAUGUAGCCUCCAUUUCACCUUCUCCCGAGGAACCUACAAGCAAGCAGCAUGUAUUCAUUUUGCUUUCAAACAUGCUAGACUCGAGGAACAGAACCGUCUGGAACUCCUGCAGUGACCACCUAAUCAUGUAUCUAUCUGAUGGUCUCCUGGAAGGAUGGCGCCAUACGCACAUAGUUGCUUAUGUC